CGCCCUCCCCGCCGUGCCCCCUUAAAGAGCUCUGCCUUUUACGGUGGCGCCGGAGGGUCAAAAAAAAGAGGGGACUCGGGGAGGGGGGGGGGCAGCGGAGAGGCCCCCACACACACACCGGGCACGGCGGGACUAGGUCGCGGCGGGAGCAUCACCGCCACCGGGCAGGUUUCCGUCCGCCCGCCCGUAAACGCCCGGGGAGGGAAGUGUGGGCAGCAACGGUAGCCCCGAGCCCGCAUGCAGCCGUCCCGAGCCCCGCCGGUGCUGCCCCGGGAUUCGGAGGAGGGAAAGGGCAGGUCCCCCUGCGGAAACUCGGCCACCGCUGGCCCCGCUGCCCCCCUCCUUCCCUCCGAGCCGCAGUGACAGCCCGCCUGCCGAGCGCUCGGCUCUCCCGGUGGGCUCCGGGCCGCCCCUGGAAGUGGUGCCGGGAGAAGCAGCGGAUUCCCGGGCAGGAAGGGGCAGGGGGACCCGCCGCCAAAGUCUGGACGCAGUGCCAGCCUUGCCCCAGGACAGCAAGCUGUGAACGGGGGGAGCCGGGUCCCACCGCCGACUGAAGUUUGGGGGAGCCAGAAAAGAUGCGGGGGACAGCAGAAGGCCGGGGGCGCGGGGGCCGCCGCCAGGCCGGCGAUCCGGGAACAGUCAGAGGAGCGAGCGCCGGUGCCGGGAACGCGCAGGCUGCGGAGGAGGAGAGAGCGCAGCGGCUGCCGCCAGCCAGGUCUCCUGCCGUCCCUUUCCGAAAGGAGCCUCAAAGUUUGGAGAACUCUCGUUUUUCUUUUUAAAUAACCCGAUCUAACUUUUCUCCCUUUUUUUUUUUCCUCCUAAAUCUGAUAAAGCUCAGCAGAAGCUCUUACAUGGAAGUUAACCUUUUCCACCAGCUAUCGAAUAAUUGAAUAAUGUUUUGUUCUUACCUUUGACGUUGAACUAUGAAUUCCCGCGGAUCAAUGGCCAGAAAGUUAGAAGAAAUGGUGAUUUAGGACUUCAGUACUUCUGGAAAAAAAAAUGCCAAUGGUUUAGCCAGGAUCUUCCCUGUCUGAUUCGUUACUAUUAUUAUAUCUGAUGAUGUGGAUGGAUGGAGAGAUUCAAUCCAAGCCCAUUAAUGAGCUAUUUUAUAAACACCACCGUCUGAAGAUCUUCAUUUACAUUUUGUCAGUGAUCCGUUCCUUAACAGCGGAGACGUGUGGCGACAGCGCGAUUACAGGACUUUAGUAAAGCUCCUAUAAGAGUACGACUGGCUUGUUAAUCGAUUAAUAUUUUAUUGAGUGUAAAUAUUUUAUAAAGUUUUUAGGAAAACUAUCGAUUCUAAAUUAUUAAACUAGUCAGAAGGGCAUUUGAAUAAUGCAUACAAUUAAAUACAUUUAAAUAUAUAUGUAGCGAUUGCUUUCUUUGCAAUGAAUCCCCUGCACCUUUCUCUCGCGUUCGGUUUUUUCCCCACCGGCAGCUGGUUUUGCGCAUUCACUGGAAUAUCAGGACUGCCGAAUACGUGUUUAUGCCUGUAUUUAUAAACCGAACGUUUACAGAAAAUAUGUUUUUAACUUUGAAAUCGGGAACGAUAAUAAUUUGAAAAUUUCGACGCGGAAGCAAAGGGGCUUGUUAGUAAAACUGAGGGGAAACCGAAUGGAGCGCGCAUAAAUUCUGCUGAUUGUUAACUUCUGUUUUGUAAACAUCUUUUAAUUUAGACAGAUUUUAUGAUACACGAUGCUUAUUUUUCUUUUACAUAUUUUUCCCAAUAAAAGCCUUUUCUUUCUGUUUCAAA